UUCAGGGGGGCAAUGGAACAAAAAGGGGCGACGCGGGGGCAAAGGAACGGAAGGGGGGUGAUAUGGGGGCGAUGGAGCGAGAAUAUUGGGAGAGAGAGAGAGAGAGAGA